rnacentral:misc_RNA from 1 species
GAAAAAUUUCACUUUCUGCAGACCUGCUUUCAAAGCAGAAAGCUCAUUUCUGUCUGUUGACGAAACCUCUGCAGGGGAAGGAGAUACUGGAGCAGACAUGACGAACUUUGGCAUCGUUUCUGAGGCUUCUUGAGCAUUCCCCAAUUCAACAAGAUUGAGAGACAAACAAAGCGAAAGGUUGUUGAAUUGCCGCCACUAUACGCUUCCAAGGGAAUGACUAUUUCAAUUUCUUCUUUUUCCCUAGCUUCUGAAGCAAAAUCUGC